rnacentral:lncRNA from 1 species
CAAUUACCUCCCAACAUGUUUGCAGCAAGUACCCUGUCGAUGGUAGGCAAGAGGAAGGUGUGACCCACAAAGAUCAAGGAAUCUAAGCCGGCCAAGGUACUCAGGGAGUUUUGAAAUCUUCCAAGAUGCCAUCGAGGAACUGAAAAGUGCUGUCCAGCUGCAGUGAGGGCUUUUUAAAGGCAGUUCCAUGUCUACACCCCACUGAGUUCAGACUGUCCAAUGAACCACUGACAUUGUUACACCUGCGUAUUGUGGACAACUUGAGAAAACACUUGUCUGCAGGAAGAUGAAAUUAAAAUCAAGUGUGAUCCUACCACCGAAA